rnacentral:lncRNA from 1 species
GGGCGAGGAGCUGCUGUGACAGCGAAGGGGGAUUGAAGGGAGCACCUUCUCGUCGCCGCCGCUGCUGCUCCACGUCAAGUUCUCCUCCGGCGCGGGCUCACGCUCUUGUAAUGGCUCCAGCUUCAUCUCCUCGGCUUCACGUCUCGAAGACGCCUUCGUAGCCCCCGCCGCCGCCUCCUCCAUUUUCCCCGCCUUCUCAACCGCCUCCUCAGGAGAGGCUCCUCCCCCACCUCCGGAGAUCCAGCGGACCCCAGAGCCGGAGGGCAAAGAAGUUUCUCGAACCUGGGCCAUCAGAUCACUCCCCGACCUGAGGAGCAAGGCGUCUGGAAAACAGCUGCGACUGUAGAUGAAAGGAGACAGAGACUUCUGUGAAUGAUCUGCCCAGCGUCAUGGCCGCGGGCUGGUCACAAGGGGGCCGCCCCCUGGCCCCUCCCCUCUCGACGUGCGGCCCCCAACCCCGGAUUCUGCCCUCCUGCAGUGAUGAAUGGCACCGCUGUCCCGCGCAGGCAGGCAAACCUCUUCCUGAAACAGACUCUGCUGGAGGCAACAGCAGCAACAGAUUCUACAGAAAGCCCCUGAAAUGGAGGCUCAGGCCUCACCUAGCUCCAGGCCCGCACUCCACAGA